UACGAAGGGGACUAGCGUUGUUCGGAAUUACUGGGCGUAAAGCGCGCGUAGGCGGAUCGCUAAGUCAGGGGUGAAAUCCCAGGGCUCAACCCUGGAACUGCCUUUGAUACUGGCGAUCUUGAGUCCGGGAGAGGUGAGUGGAACUGCGAGUGUAGAGGUGAAAUUCGUAGAUAUUCGCAAGAACACCAGUGGCGAAGGCGGCUCACUGGCCCGGUACUGACGCUGAGGUGCGAAAGCGUGGGGAGCAAACAGG
rnacentral:rRNA from 1 species